rnacentral:tRNA from 1 species
GAAACUUAGGAUCAUUCAAACCGAAG